AAUAUUGCACAAUGGGCGCAAGCCUGAUGCAGCCAUGCCGCGUGUAUGAAGAAGGCCUUCGGGUUGUAAAGUACUUUCAGCAGUGAGGAAGGCGGGUACGUUAAUAGCGUGCUCGUUUGACGUUAGCUGCAGAAGAAGCACCGGCUAACUCCGUGCCAGCAGCCGCGGUAAUACGGAGGGUGCGAGCGUUAAUCGGAAUUACUGGGCGUAAAGCGCAUGCAGGUGGUUUGUUAAGUCAGAUGUGAAAGCCCGGGGCUCAACCUCGGAAUUGCAUUUGAAACUGGCAGACUAGAGUACUGUAGAGGGGGUAGAAUUUCAGGUGUAGCGGUGAAAAUGCGUAGAGAUCUGAAGGAAUACCGGUGGCGAAGGCGGCCCCCUGGACAGAUACUGACACUCAGAUGCGAAAGCGUGGGGAGCAAACAGGAUUAGAUACCCUGGUAG
rnacentral:rRNA from 1 species